CCCGAGUGGGUGUGAUCUCAGAGCCGGGAUGCGCUCUCGCGCCCGGAGUUCACACUGGGCCUCGACCAAAACCUCCAGAGCAGGCAAGCUGCCCUUUGGGCUACGCUAUUUAGGCAUGACUAAGAGAUAUUGUGAAAUUACAACCCAACAAUGCUUUGUGGGACAGGCGUUCCCACACCUAAGAAAUUGUCCAGCGUUGAACCAGCAUGUCUCAAAAUGGCAUCUGCGGAUGAACUGCAGGCGGCUGGAGACAGAUUUGCUGACCUCUAAUUGUCGAGGUCUCCCGCUGACGUCUGUGAGCUGUGCCUCAAAGACAGAAAGGAUCGGGCUCUGUGAUCUCUCUUCUGAAUGACAGCGACGCUGCCUGCCAGGAGGGGGCUGUCACUUCAGAUUCCACAGCAACUUGAGCAGCUGCAGCUGCUGCCUGAGGGAAAACCAGAUGCACCAAUAUUUUGAAUGUGCUGUCAGGUUUGCUAGGAAUGUACAGACUUGUUGCAGUUGUUUUGCAGGAUUCUGGUAUUUGAAAUCUGUCACAAAGCCAAUUCCAAUUGAGGUAAUAAUAUGAUAACUCUGAGACUAGGCGCCAUGUACUAAAUUUUACUUGAGGGUUCACACGUUCUUACCGACAAGUUCUACGAACCCCAUGUUAUAAAUAGGGAAAGUCCCCAGCACGUCUCAGGACACAUCGUAAAUCAGUUCUAUAAUUGGUAAUGUGGUGUCAUAUCUAUUCUCCAGGAACUUUCAACCAUUCUUGUACUAUGUAUAAUGUAUUCUUUUAUCCUGGAAAGGAUGGGGGCCGUUUAUUUCCACCUGGGAGUGAAGAAUUAUCAAGUUAAAAUCAAGGGCUCUAAACAAAUUUUAUUUGGAAUGAAGCAUUAUUAUUGUAAUUCAGAGACAGAAUUUAUAUUUUAUAUAUUCGUGUGUGAUCAUUAUUGGAUAUUCAAAUGGCACUCUUUCUCAAAUUCCCAUUCUUUGUCAAGAAGGCAGACUUUGUACUCUUCUGAUCAGAUUUUCUCUUUCUAUAGCCGUUUUCCACAAUUUGCUCUUUUUGUCACUUUAGAAAGUGUGAGCAUGCCAAUUUAAGAUUAUCUCACAGAGUUCACAGUUUUAAAAGCCGUAUUUCUUCCUUGAUCUUCCUUGACUAUCUUGAUUCUCAACCUAAAAUGAAAAUUUGAUCCUUUUGGAACUUAAUUGAAUGCUUUGAUCAUUAGGGAUUUUCACUAGGCAAAAAGCACAAGCAGGAGAGGCUAACAUCUUAAUGUGAUGAACUUCCACUGCAGAAGAUUAUACCUCUGAGGAAGAAGACAUGCCCUAUUGCACAAGCAGGGCUGUGGUUUGCCUUGUUUAUUCUGUGUCUCUGGCAUAUAGAACAGUGCUUGGCAUAAAGUAAUGAUGAUAUACUGUUUAUUGAAGGAAAGCAUGAAUGAAUGAAUAAGCAAUUGAAUAAAUCAAAGACUCUCAGGAGGAGCCUUUGAUGUUGUUAUGGGGAGAAAAAAGGAAGAAGACUGCAAAAACUCUUCUAACAUUUCUUCUCCUUGCCUUUAAUAACAUAAAUGUAUAUUGGAUGCAGUAGAGGGGCUAAGAGAAGGUCUCUGCCCUCAAGCCAUCUUCAUAGCAGCUACUGAUUCCAGUGGCAGCUUUCAGGUCCUCAGUCCUUCUAAUGUCCAAGAUAUACACUGUAACCAAGUAAAUGUUCCUGUAUGCUGUUCCCAAGAUUUAGAAAACAGGAACUUUGUGGUUUGCAUCAUCAUUUUUUUGAGGCUUCCUUCAGCUCUAAUUCCUUCCACAUAUUUAGUGUUCUAUUAGUAUUAUUGUUGAACUGAACUUUUAAAUUUCAAAAGCAUAUCUUAAAGACAGUUUCAUAUUUCCAGAUAAUAAAUAGCUUUUUCAUUACUUUUUGCUAAAUAGAGAUGCUUAGAGCAUUCCAAAAAGUUUCUUAAUCACUGAACUUCUUUGGCAUGGACAUUCAUCAUGUUCCCCCCACUUGCAUACUUACUUUGUCUCUCUACAUACUUGCCUUGUGUCUUUUUCUGACUUUCAGUUUUCUCCUGUAUAAAUUGUGGAUAAUAUUUACCUUUUGAAGAGUUAAUAAUAUUCAAGAGACCCCAUAUAAAAACACUGAAAAUUUCUGCAUAUUGUUAAGUAUUCUUCUCAAAAUUGCCAAUUAGCAGCAUCAGAUAGGAUUAUUAAUAUGGUCCUUAGGUGACACAGACAUUAGCAAUGAAUAAUACCUUGACUAUAUUCUCAAGUAGCCACAGAUCCAGCAGUUAAGUAAAUGAAUCAUAAUGCAACUGGAUGAUAAUAAGUGAAAAAAGUACUUAGGAACAUGGUGAUUAACUUCAUCAUGGAUACACCGGGAAGAUUUUAUAUAGAGAAUGGAAUUUUGAUUUCAGUCUUGAUGAAUGACUGUAAGUGUACCAAGCCAAGAGAAUUAAGAGGGUCAUUUUAGGCUGUAGAUGUUCAUAAAAUAGAAGUUCAGAGGGACCAGAACCUUCAGUGCGGGUUCAGCCAGAGUGGAGGUGGGAGGGAGGUGGUGAAGAAGUAGGGAAAGUUUGUUGAGACAGAUGUGAAGGAACUUGUAAGGGAAGCCAAGGAAUUCGAUUUAAUUUUUUGUAAUUAAAUCGAUGUUUUGGAAAAUUAACUCAGAAGUAGUGUGAAUGAUAGCAUAGUUAAAAAAGGUUAAAAGGAUAGAGUCUAGAGCUAGACAGCUUGAGUUAAAAUCUUGCCUCUGCUGUUUACUAGUUUAUGACAUUAGGGAAAGUCACUGCAACUCGAUGCCUCAGCUUUCCUGGAUGUAAAAUGGGGAUAGUGGAAAUAUAUACUUCAUAAGUGAUUGGGAGGUCCAAGGGAGUUAACCUAUGAUUAGAAUAGGGCCUGGCACAGAAUAAAUGUUGUAAUCAAGUGCUGGUUAAGUACCAUUAUAGUACUAUUUUAAGUACUAUAAAAUAGAAAGUGUGUAUUAUGGAGGCAAAAUCCAGAUGGGAGGUAGCUGAGGAUCAGGUCCUAGAUUUAGACAAUCAUUUCUGUGGAUUGCCUAAUGCAGAAGGAAAUUUUCUCUAAUCCAAAAUAAAGAGAAAUCCAAAUAAAACAACAACGUUUCUUGAAACAUAGGUGAGCUUGGAACCAUCAGCGAUUGGGAACAAAUACACAAAGUCACAAUGUAGUAUGUAAACCAGAUCUAGGUCCUAUCGCUGGGGACUGGGCCCAGCAAAAGGUGAAGAAGCCAGGCUUCAAGACAUAUGCACACAGAGAGCUGAAAUUAAGCUAUCUAUGUAAAGCUAGAACCAUUGAAGAGUUGCUCAAGCUAUGAAAAAUGGAACCAGAGAACUGGCCUGAGGGAUGUGACAAGAACAUUUUUAGUCUAUAGAGUUCCAUAGAUGGAAAAAGUGACAUGUGCAGAACAAAUAAGGAUGUUCCUAAUGAAUAUUACCUACAAUGUAUGGAGGUUUUAGAUCAAUAAAGUGAACGUAAAAGUGUUCAUGAACAACCCCUCCAUGUGCUAUAUAAGAAACACAGUUCAGAUUCAAUUCUGUAAGUAGUUUGAAAAUAAAAAUAUAGAAAUAUACCAUGCCAAUAUUAACUUUUUUAAAAGGGGGUUCUAUUCAUAUCUAUAAGGUACACUUAAGAGCAAUAAAAAUUGCUACAGAAAAGGAGGGACAUUACAUAAUGAUGAAAGGACAAACUCACCAAGAAGACAUAACAAACCUAAUUGGGUACAUACCAAACAACAUAAAGAAAAAAAAUAGAUAGAGCUGAAAAGGAAAGUAGGUGAAUUCAAAAUUAUAUUUAUCUAGGAUAUAUAUGCUCUGAAUAAUACAAUCAACAACAGAUCUAACUGACAUAUACAGAGCAUUUAUCUCAACAACAGUAGAAUUCACUUUUUUAAAAAAGCCUCCAUGGAAGAGUAGCCAAGAUAGACCAUACUUUGGGCUAUAACACAACAAAUUGAAAUCAUUUAGAGUAUAUUUUCUGGCCAUAAUUAAAUCAAACUAGAGAUCAAUGAUAGAAACAAUAGGAAUAUUUAUUAAACAUGUAAAUUAAACAACACAUUUCCAAAAAUCCACGGGCCAAAGAGCAAGUCUAGAUAAAGCAACAACCACAAAAAUAACAGAAUGAGAAUGAAAAUACAGUGUAUCAAAAGUCUGUGUAGGAAGUCAUUAAAGCAUUAAAGCAGAGAGAGAAAUCUGGAGCAUUAAAGGCUUACAUAAGGAAUGAAGAAAGUUUUCAAAUCAAUACUUUAUGUUUCUACAUCAAGAAACUAGAAGAAGAAAAGCAAAAUAAAUCCAAAGCAGCAGAAGAAAUAAGAUAAUACAGAGCAGAAAUCAAUAAAAUUGAAAACAGGAAACAAUAGAAAAAACUAAUGAAACAAAAAGCUGGUUUUUUAAAAACAAAAACAAAUUGAUAAACAUCUAGAAAGACUGAUAAAAAGAAAGAAUGUGGGAGUUGUCACUGUGGUGC
rnacentral:lncRNA from 1 species